GCAAUGCCGGCAGCUACCAUGCAAGUCGAGCGGUAGCACAAGGGAAGCUUGCUCUCUGGGUGACGAGCGGCGGACGGGUGAGUAAUGUCUGGGAAACUGCCUGAUGGAGGGGGAUAACUACUGGAAACGGUAGCUAAUACCGCAUAACGUCGCAAGACCAAAGAGGGGGACCUUCGGGCCUCUUGCCAUCAGAUGUGCCCAGAUGGGAUUAGCUAGUAGGUGGGGUAAUGGCUCACCUAGGCGACGAUCCCUAGCUGGUCUGAGAGGAUGACCAGCCACACUGGAACUGAGACACGGUCCAGACUCCUACGGGAGGCAGCAGUGGGGAAUAUUGCACAAUGGGCGCAAGCCUGAUGCAGCCAUGCCGCGUGUGUGAAGAAGGCCUUCGGGUUGUAAAGCACUUUCAGCGAGGAGGAAGGUGGUGAGCUUAAUACGCUCAUCAAUUGACGUUACUCGCAGAAGAAGCACCGGCUAACUCCGUGCCAGCAGCCGCGGUAAUACGGAGGGUGCAAGCGUUAAUCGGAAUUACUGGGCGUAAAGCGCACGCAGGCGGUUUGUUAAGUCAGAUGUGAAAUCCCCGGGCUCAACCUGGGAACUGCAUUUGAAACUGGCAAGCUAGAGUCUCGUAGAGGGGGGUAGAAUUCCAGGUGUAGCGGUGAAAUGCGUAGAGAUCUGGAGGAAUACCGGUGGCGAAGGCGGCCCCCUGGACGAAGACUGACGCUCAGGUGCGAAAGCGUGGGGAGCAAACAGGAUUAGAUACCCUGGUAGUCCACGCUGUAAACGAUGUCGAUUUGGAGGUUGUGCCCUUGAGGCGUGGCCUUCCGGAGCUAACGCGUUAAUCCACCGCCUGGGGAGUACGGCCGCAAGGUUAAAACUCAAUUGAAUUGACGGGGGCCCGCACAAGCGGUGGAGCAUGUGGUUUAAUUCAUGCAACGCGAAAACCUUACCUACUCUUGACAUCCAGAGGAACUUAGCAAAGAUCCUUGGUGCCCUUCGGGAACUCUGAGACAGUGCUGCAUGGCUGUCGUCAGCUCGUGUGCUGAAAUGUGGGGUUAGUCCAGCACGAAGCGCACACCCUUAUUCUCUUUGUGCCAGCGUUUCGCGGGGAACUCAAAGGAACCUGCCAGUGCAUCAACCUUGGACGCAACGGUGGGGAUACGGCAGCUCAUCCUGUCCUACGGAGUGGGUCUACCACGUUGCUGACAUGGCGUGAGUUGCAUGACGACAGCGCAGAACUCAUGCGCAUCAU
rnacentral:rRNA from 1 species